UACGUAGGGUGCAAGCGUUGUCCGGAAUUAUUGGGCGUAAAAGAGCUCGUAGGCGGUUUGUCGCGUCUGCUGUGAAAACUGGAGGCUCAACCUCCAGCCUGCAGUGGGUACGGGCAGACUAGAGUGCGGUAGGGGGAGAUUGGAAUUCCUGGUGUAGCGGUGGAAUGCGCAGAUAUCAGGAGGAACACCGAUGGCGAAGGCAGAUCUCUGGGCCGUAACUGACGCUGAGGAGCGAAAAGCAUGGGGAGCGAACAGG
rnacentral:rRNA from 1 species